rnacentral:rRNA from 1 species
UAGGGAAUCUUCCACAAUGGACGAAAGUCUGAUGGAGCAACGCCGCGUGAGUGAAGAAAGGUUUUCGGAUCGUAAAGCUCUGUUGUUGGUGAAGAAGGAUAGAGGCAGUAACUGGUCUUUAUUUGACGGUAAUCAACCAGAAAGUCACGGCUAACUACGUGCAGCAGCCGCGGUAAUACGUAGUGGCAAGCGUUGUCCGGAUU